ACAGCACCCACGCCCCUAGGGCUCUUCUUUGAGCUUGCCACUGCAGGGAACAAGGUAAGGAGAGCUUCUCUUUGCUUCUCUUUGGUUUUGAUCUCCCUCUAGCCUAGAUUUUGAAGGAUUAAUCCCUUUUCUUUCCUCUUUUAUGCUUCCCCACCAUUGAUGGAGCUAGAAGCUUGGAUUUGGAGCUAAGUGGAGGAUAGAUCUUGGGAUUUAAAGGAUUUAGAGCUUGAUUUGAAGCUUCUAAGAGGUAAGCAUUACACUAUCUUCCUCUAGAUUUGAGUUUUAUUGGAUUUCAUGAGUUGAAACCCUAGAUUGUGAUAUUAGGGUUUAUUUUGGGCAUUUUGAAUCUAGGGCUUUUGAAGCUAGAUUGAUUGGAUUAGAGGCUUCCAUUGGGUUGGAUUGGAUGAGCCCUAGCUUCAUUUUGGAGCUUUAGAGGAGAUUUUGCACUAGAGGUGAGUUUUCCUCACCUAUGAUUGAUUAGCUUAAUGAUUGAGCUAUUGAUGGUUCGUUUCGUUCGUGUGACGCAUGUUCUUGUACCUCUAGGAUACUAGGAGGCCAUUGGACACCCUCGUUGGAGCGCACGAGGAGUUUCGUUGCCAUCGGUGGGUUUGGCUUCGUGGAAAUAGGGCAAAAUGGCCCCUAUGCUCUUUCUACUUGUUGUAAAAUAUUUUUAGAUUCAUUUCUAUGCUAAAUGGAAUUUAUAUGAAUCUUAGAGCACUUAAAAUGCAUGCCUUGUGUAUUAUGAAAAUUUCACUAUAUAGUAGAGCUAUAUGAGUAGAAUGCAUGCAUACGGGAAAUGUGCUUGUUUUGCAAAUGAAAAAUACAUCUCUUAUGAUGAUGAUGACUUGGAAUAUGUACCUUGGAACAUAGUUGCCAUGUUUUGACAUAGAG
rnacentral:lncRNA from 1 species